ACACAUACUUCUGCGCUUUCCCUGGAAGUGGAGCAUUAGCAACUGCAGUCAGAACGCACCGUUGCUUCUUCAGCUCUGAUCUGAGCAGCAACUGUCGAAUUCUGUCUGGAGGAGAUAGGAGACAGCACUGGAGUCCCAUCUGUAGUGCACGUUCUUGAGAAGUGGCUGGCUGGCAAGGAAGGAGCACACUGCUGAAGGCCCCAGCUGCCAUUAAGACUGGCAUGAAACCAUUACUGACAGAUUGGACACUGUAGUCCUCCAGACAACAUUAAUCUAUUGAUAAUUCUGAAGUGAAGACGUGAUUGAUGCUGCACCAGAAACUGGUGGCAUAGGAAGUUGGCUGCAUUUUCAGAGGAUUUUUUGAGACAUCCUUCUGGCUUUAUUAAGGAUGAACAUAUUUCUUUGUUUGGAAAUUAAGAUGUUCUCUGCUUCUGGGACAUCAUGGUGAAAAUCUGUAAUUAAGGACAGUGGUAAUAAUAUAUGGAUUCUGUUGGAGAUAGAGUGUCGUACAAGUAUUGGAUGAAAUAUUUACCUAGCAAACAGACUUGCUGAUUGAGUGUCUCAGCCCAGACAAUGGGCCCCUGCCUCCAGGAGUGUGCGACUGAAAUAAAUCCACUGACUUGAGCAGCCGCGCUCCAUCCCACGCGACCGGGAGCCGAAGCUGGUUUCUGACACACCAACUUCCAUGGAGCCAGGGAAGAGCGUACAGGUGAGCAGCAUUUUUAAAUCCUUAGCAUGGCUUGUGUCCGUAUCAGCCCUGACUCAUAGGUUAUACACGUAGGGUAUGUAUUAAAUAUCACUGUACUUGCACCAUGUGUAUCUAUUUGAGAUAAUUAUGGCUAUUGGAGUGCUGGUGGGACUUGCAGUCUUUAAUGCACUUAUCCUCACAACAUCUGAUAAAGUGAGGAAGUCUUUUUAUCUGUAUAUUAUACAGAGGAAACUGAAGCCUAGACAGUUUUUUUGCUAUGCCAGGGAACUGAAUCUGGAUUUUCCAAGCUGAAAGCUAGCACUCAGUCUGUUGGUCUGUCUUGAAAUAAGCAGUACAAAUAGGCACAGAGAACAGUGCUUCUUGUAAAUCGGGGAUACUGAACUACUUCACUGUGAUACAGCAGACAUGAUAAAUUGCUACUGUUAAAUAAAGUGUUAGGGAAUUGUCACGUAGCUAUGGAGAGGCCACGCUGUUAUUAAGGAUGCAAAAUGCAUAUAUUUCAGCUUAUUCUUCCAUAUCCAUAUUGACUCUGAAGUGCAAACAAUAAUAAAAAGUAAAUUUUGCCAGUAAACUAACACAAUUUAUCUGGAGGACAGCGCAGAAAGUGGGAGCAGAGCUUGAUCCCUCCCUGCUUGGGAGUGGUGACGUGUUAGCUGAUGGAGGCAGCCCAGCCAGAAGGCAGAGAAUAAUGAUGCUAUUUAUUGUUCUGGUGAGGAUUCAGUGAGACAGGAUGGGGGUUUAGUCCUAAAAAAUUAACAAGGAGUGGAAAUGUGUAUCAGAGCUGGUCAUUGUACUCAGAUCUGUGGUGUCAAUAUCACAAGAUCAUCAUUUUCUCUGUUAUCAUACAAUAAUGUGGGUACAUUGCCAUCUCAGAAGUCAAUGGUUGGUUCAACACAUGAAAAGGAGAUGCCAGAAGUGAAGGUACUGGGGAACUAUGGGCUUUAUUCUGCUGAGGCAAAGAUGUCUCCAAAUCUGUUCCUUUAGUAAGACCAAGACUCUCUGUGAUUGAAAUAACUGACUUUUCGUUUCCCAAGAGCAUCUAGCAUGGGAAUGGGACUAUUACAGUGAAUUUUGCUAUUGCACAGGAAUAAAUCUGGAGUGAUCUCAAAGUUAGUCAAAAUAUGUGGCCUUAUUGUAGAAUUAAAAAUUAUCACACAUGCAUCGAAACCAGAUGAUUUCAUCAGGAAAAAGUCUUCUUCAUUAUGAGGUUAUGGUUUGAAUAUGGCUGCAGAUUGGCCUUCUAAGUUUUAUUUGAUAUUUUUUGAUAUGCUGCAGUAUUUCAUUGUAAUUUAAUGGCAAUUUCUAUUCACACAGCUAUUCUAAAUAGGUUCUUAUACGUACCUAUUACCUUGGUAGCCAGGUUUCUAUAUCAAAUCCUGAACAUUCCAUUAUUAUUAAAAAUAUAAAAUCCAUCUAUUCCAUCUGUUUUGUACAGUAAGGUGAACAAAAUUGGAUGUGAAGUCACAGUGUGGUAACAGGGUAAUUUUUUUUUGAGUUUCUUCUAAUAUACUUAUUGUCAAUUGUAUUGAAGAUGUAUUAUAUUACAGUUGUUCAUGGCUGUUUUAUCAUGUGC
rnacentral:lncRNA from 1 species